CCUGUCUGUCCCUUUCUGAUGAGUUGCCAUUCUUGGGUUUUGGCAGCUCCCCAGUCACGAUGUGGAUUGGCCUGGUGUGUUCCCUGCAAACUGAAGACAACUGCCCUCUGGAGCCUUGUACAACUAGGAUGCAGUCCCAGCACAGCCAGAGAGCACCUCUUAGUCCUUGAGGAGUUACAAUAACUUCUCAACUCCUUGGUUUCACCACGUGUGCAAAGGGGCUAUCACUUUCUUUAAGAGAUUGCUGAGGAUGCCCAGAGAGAAGCUGGACUCAGAUGUGGAAUGCUGGCUGGUGAGUGGGGGGCCCCAGUUGCUCAGAUACACAUCACCCAAUCAGAUUAGAAGGACUUAAACUGUCCGUGAUGAGGGGAUCUGAUGUCACUGGCAUCAGGGAUGCACUGGGGGACCCCAACAGAAGCCCGUCUGCUGAAAGGAAGAGAAUGUCCCAGGAAGAGAUCUGCAUUAAAGAAAGAAGGUGUGUGGUGGGACCACGGCCAGCAAGGGCGCCUCAGUCAAGGGUUCAAAGCACGGGAUAAUACUGCACGUGGGUUGACCCAGCUGUCAGGAGUAACGUCCACUGUGGGAGCUGUCCCUCUGAAGGUCAAAGGCCUGAGGCCCUAGCAGUCCAGCUGGGGACACAAAGCAGACUGCAAUGUGGCAGGUGCAUGCUCUCCUGCCCCUUGCCAGGUGGCCCGGAGACGGGGUUGCUAAGCUACUCGUCCUGGGUUCUGUUUUGACCAGUAUUAGUCACGAUGAGCUCUAAGCCAGUUACCUUUGGUCCUUGCCCCUAGACCUUGUGAAUAAUUCUAUGAAAGUCCCUGGUCAUUUAUUUUCACUGUCAUAUCUAGGCACAUACGGAAGAAGAACUGAAUGAACUAAUAAGAUAUCUUGAAGUGCCCCAAACUAAAUUACUAUGUAUCAUAAAGCAAGAACUGAACUCAAAUAUUCAAAAUUAUUUUAGUCCAAAUUAUGUGUUUUCAUAUUCAAGGCAAAUGUCUGAGUGAUUUGCUAAAAUAAAACAAUGGCUUAACUCUAUUUAAAAUCCAAUUCCAUUUGUAUCUUCGUUAAGAAAUUUGCAUUGCAAAACAUCUGACAUGAGAUAUAGUUAUCAGUAUAUUGUCUCUCUCUUCAGGGAAGAUUUUGAGCAAACAGAGCUACUGCAAAUCUAAUUUUGCUGAAUACAAAAUAGAUUAAUAGCCAGUUCAUUCUAUAAAUAUAGCUUCUAAAAACAGAAGUUUUGCUGGUAAAGAAAAGAAAUAAAAUCCAAACAGCAUUACCAAUUAUACCACAGCACUUGUAGUAGAAUGGCAAUCAGCGGCUGCAAUUGUAAAAAGCAAAAUCAAGCACUUGAGUAUCAAGCACAAACUGCAGAAUUCACCUGAAUUACAGUCACAUCAAACCCAGUUUAUGAACUUUGACACAUUCAGUGUGGUAGGUAGAAAACAAACUCAGUGCUAGAAAUUCCCACGUCCCCUGUAGCAGGGCUCUAAUCUUACAAACAUUAUUUUGGAAUCUAAAAAUAACUCUAGAAGGCAAAUUUCACCAACUCCACCCUCGAAGUGGGAAGCUGAAUAUGCAAAGAAGCUCACAGGGGCCACACACAUACCGCCAAGUGGCAUGGAGCACAAUCAAGCCAGGUUGCUUUGGCUGUCCUCUGCCUUUCCAGAAACCUAGUGCUACUGAGCCCCUGCGUGGCAGAGCUUGGGUUUUGGUUUUUUCCUACCAGAAGGACACACUGGACAACAAGUGGCCCACUGAAAGUCAUCAGUGUCCACCUCAGCUACUUCACAACUGCUGGGUUUGAAACCCCUAACUACAGAGUUAACUGAAGGAGAUUAUGGCACAGAUGAAGCAAGUUCAAGAGCAAAGUUUAAAUGACUUUAAGUUCAGUACUGUGAGGAAUUUGAGAUGUGCAUCGGAAGGAAAGUAUCUAGAAAUUCAAGAUCCAUCAGAAAAAGAAAAAAAAAAAAAACAUAAAACACAACUGGAUGGAACACCAGGGUUUCUCAAGCUGCUGGACUCAAAAGUCCCCUCUAGAACGGGAGAGCAGCAAUUUCCUGCACCAGGGAGGU
rnacentral:lncRNA from 1 species